AAUGCAAUGUCUACAACAUUAAUGCACUAGAUCCCAUUGAAAAUAUGUAGUUAAUCACGUUUUGGCUAGAGUAGUAUUGGGAUGGGUGACCUCCCUGGAAGUCCUAGCUUUUUACAUGC
rnacentral:rRNA from 1 species